rnacentral:snRNA from 1 species
AUGCUUUCCUGGUAGGGGGACACUAAUCAUGGAGGUGGUUCUCCUGCGGUGAGGAACAGCCGCUCACCCCAGGCAAUUUCACCAAUGUGGGAAUCUCUACGGCACAGUUUCUGGUACUGGGGGACUGUGUUCACGCUCUCGUC